CAGCGCGGCUCCCGGUGGCGCCUCACGUACUCGCUCUUCACCCCGCUGCCCGGGGACACGGUGCCGCUCCACUCCCUACGCGUCGCCCGCGGAACUCGUGACACAGAGACCACCUCCAUGCAGAGUUUUUACGAAUCAACAAGAAAAUAAAAAUGAACACUCCAACUAAGAGAUAUACAAAGGAAAUACAUUCCCAAAUGUUUGGUGAUGUGAGAGGCGGUCCAACUGGACUUUUAUCCAAAACCAAGCAAAGGUUUGAAGUAUUUUAUUUUGCUUCAGUUUUCCAUGCUGUCAUGUUGAUGUAUGGUAUGAAAAGUUAUCCUCUUCAAUAUCAUUCAGUAUUCACAGAUACUUUCUAUACUGGAACUGUCCUCAGCUGUGUUCCGGUUCCUGUCCACGGCAAGGUGAGGUCCCGGGAGCGGCUUGGAGCCCCGCCUUCAUCUGAAGCUCCGCGUAGCUACUCCACAACUUCUUUUUCUUAAUUUUCUCAACUUUUUUGCAUUGGGUAUUUAUUGUGUUCUUAGAGAAAACAAUAAAAACUGAUUUUAAAUUUU
rnacentral:lncRNA from 1 species